rnacentral:rRNA from 1 species
ACGAACGCUGGCGGCGUGCUUAACACAUGCAAGUCGAACGGAAAGGCCCUGCUUUUGUGGGGUGCUCGAGUGGCGAACGGGUGAUUAACACGUGAGUUACCUGCCCUUGACUUUGGGAUAACUUCAGGAAACUGGGGCUUAUACCGGAUAGGAGCUCCUGCUGCUUGGUGGGGGUUGGAAAGUUUCGGCGGUUGGGGAUGGUCUCGCGGCUUAUCAGCUUGUUGGUGGGGUAGUGGCUUACCAAGGCUUUGACGGGUAGCCGGCCUGAGAGGGUGACCGGCCACAUUGGGACUGAGAUACGGCCCAGACUCCAACGGGAGGCAGCAGGGGGGAAGAUUGCACAAUGGGCGGAAGCCUGAUGAAGCAACGCCGCGAGCGGGAUGACGGCCUUCGGGUUGUAAACCGCAUUCGCCUGUGACGAAGCGUGAGUGACGGUAAUGGGUAAAGAAGCACCGGCUAACUACGUG